ensembl:lncRNA
CUCCGAAAGGCUUUUUUGUAUUAGAGUUCCCAGGUCAACAAAUGUCUUCGUAUACCAAAUGGAUACAAAUGGAGAAGAAUGACUGGCAAUGAGUCUUUUCUUUUAUGAUACUGAAUGAGAGAUCAUUAUACUUCUGUGAUGCUGAUCACGUUUUAUUUCUAAUUAGCUGAAAAAUUUGGUGCAUGUGUCUUUACAUCUUGGUGCAAAAACCAAACACUAAGAAAUCUAUGAGAAAUGGUAUAUCAAGCAAAUACAUUUGCUGGAGAUUCUUGGAGGGACAGAAGAGAAUCCUGUUAUUCAGCUCUGAAGGAUGGAAAGUGGAAUAGACUUAGCAGUCAGACUCUGCAUAAAAUCUUUCUGUUCAGUGCAGGAAAUGAAGCAGGGGUGUUCCUUCUUGCUGCAGCUGGCUUUAACUCAGGGCACUCCUGCUGGAGGCCAGAGCAUAGCUGUGGACCUGUGGCUUCUCUUUCUGUGAGCUCUGACAGAGAGGCUCCAGGACAAGAACAAAGUUACUUAAUAGCAGGGAAAACACCCACCCCCAGGAGAUGGGAUCAAAUUCUGUGUUGUGCCCACUGCAGUGUAAACUGUGAAAGAAGUUGGACCCAAGGGAAACUACUGCUCAGACUCUCACGCUGCUUCUUCGUGGAGCUCAUUGCACUCUUCUCAUGUUUCUCAGGUCACGCCAAAGCAAGACAUGUUCUGCUGGCAUCAGAAGAAAAGGACAGAACUACCUGUUAUACACUCAUGGAAGACAAACAGGAAAACAACCUCCUCUGUGAAUGUUAACUCUCUCUUUUCUUGAGCUUAUGCAGUUACUGGGCAUGUUAGGCUUCCAUGCCAAGAGACUGAAGAAAACUUCUGAUUUCAUUCAGGUUUGCCUUUCUUAAAGCAGUGCCUGACACCUGACAGGAUGCAGCAGCAAUCUGAGGCAUUUUCUGCUCAUGGAGAAUGGUGGAGCCCAGCGGGGGUUCCCAGCCCAGCCAUGGCAGCACACUGGAGCAGCAAUCAAAGGGAACCAGUAGCUUCUGACAAAUGUCACCAAGUAUUCUGACAAUCAUUCUUAUUGGCAGCAUUUCAGCUUCUUGUUUUGACACUCCCCUGCCUUGUCCUUUGAUAUUAGAGGUCUUUAUGUUAAAAUAGGAACUGCAUUUCUCAAGAGAUAAUGCCUGCAGGAUGGUGUGAAGUUGUCUGCUGUGUCUGGUGCUGCCCCUUCAGGUGUUCUUGAUUCACCAUGUGGCUUAAUCCUGCCCCAGGUCAAGGGAUUUCACUUAAUGUGUUUUGUUUGUCAUGUGUGAAUACAUGUUAGAAUGACUUUUAUAUGACUUGGUUUCCAAUACAUUCUGGAUAUUCAAGUCUUUACCUUCACCAUGUCAGUAACUCACUGUUUUUGUUCCAGAAAUUUGUUUUUUUCUGUUUAUUUUAGUUGAAAGCUGGGAUUCUUGUCUGUCUUCUGUUUCCAACAGGUGAGGCUUUAUGAAAGCAUCACACGUUGUAGGAGCUGACAGUGUCAUUCUAGAUGUGCAGUGCUCAGGGGUGUAUCAUACUGGGAGAUGACUCUUUAUACUGUGCCCUUUCUUGACCAGGAGAUUUGAAAAGGUUUAAAGCAGCUCCAUAACUGCUUUUGGACAUUUCUGGAGACAUUCAAACUUAAGAGAUUCCCAAGGAGAUACUUUGGCUGAAGACUGAAUGUCAGAGCUAUGUGAGAAGACUUCAGUGUUUUUGCAGUGACUCUUCAGAACUACUUGUUAUUAAAACAGGGGAAGUUAAAAAUCUGGGCUCGUAUUUUAGCACCAGGGCUUUGUUGAAGACAGGCUGGCUUUUAAAGUCAUUUUGAGACAUGAAUCUCCAUCAAAGGCUUUGUGGUGGUCUGAGCGUAGAGAUCAAAGAUGGAAUUUCUUGGUCCCCAUCUUCACUUGUAGCAGCAGAUUGAGUCAUAGCUGGGGCAAUCUCUACAGGGAAAAAGAUUGUUGAUUUUAUGUAAGCAACUUGCUGCACUGCUUGAUAGCUUUCCAGAUUGCAGGAGUAGAAAUAGCAGUCGCUGUAUCAGAGAGAUCUGUAGGCUUUCUCCUUGGCAGUGGCACAAUCCAGAAUCUUUGAGAACUUAAAUCAGUGCUCCCACAGGGUCUGAGCAUCCAUCUCACACUAAAUCCUUUAAGGGCCGAACAGGAAUUUUACAGUCUUUUUGACUCCAGCUAAGACUUGGAAAAGGCAGACCCUGCCUGGAGGUGCAAGUGAAAAACUGCAAAUGAAAUGGAGAACAAUGCCAUUGGGCUGAUGAUCUGUGUGACUUUACUCGUAACUUUCCCAGCUGUAGAUAUUAUGUUAAUGCAGUUGUCUAAUCUUUUUUCAAAACUAGUACAGUGAUAGUACUGCCUCCUUGCCUGUGGUCAUAAAUUUCUCAGAGUGAUACGCUGCUUUUUUUAUUAUUAUUGUAAAAGAAUAUCUGUUACAUUUACUGCCUUUUUAUAGCAUGAAACAGAAUAAAUUGGCACAUCCCAAUCUUGCUUCA